rnacentral:rRNA from 1 species
AUGAAAUAUCUAGUCAAAAAAAUGGUUGAUCGUAAGUGCAAGUACACUACACACGCUGAGCUGCAACGGGACACGGUGACAUCACUUCUUUUGGGAUACACACUAUUCAUCGCAUUUGUCAUCGAGCGAUUGCACCACUAUCUUCAGAAGCUCAUCACCCUGAGGAAAUCAGUCAACACCUCCCAGAGAGGAGCUUGA